AUGAGCCUGGCCCGGGAGAGAGCAGCACAGCGCGGCCGGACUCUGCUGGGCUCGGCUCUGGGCAGGCAGGCACGGCUCACGGACGCCUCCCAAGACGGUGGCCCAGCAGCGGCGUGCUCCUUGGCGCCGCGGCCCAGAUGCUCCCAGGCCAUUGCUCCGCCCCCUCUGGCGGUGGACUGCGGACAGGGACAGGGACAGGGACACCCUCCUGGGAGAACUCCUGGGGCCCCGCCCACACGCUCGCUCUCGGGGAACUGCAGCCUCCUUGGGUCUGACUUGAACGUCACACCCGAAACCAUGCAACGUCUAGAAGAAAACAUAGGCAGUAUGCCCUUUGACAUCAGUCUUAGCAGCCUAUUUUCAAGUACCAUGUCUGACUGGGCAAUGGAAACAAAAUACAAAAUGAACAAACGGGACUACAUCAAAGUAAAAAAAAAUCUUCUGCACGGCAAAGGAAACCAUCCACCAAACCAAAACACAACCUAACAACUGGGAGAAGAUACUUGCAAACCAUGUAUCGGAUAAGGGGUUUAUAUCCAAAACACAGAAAGAACUCAUACAGCUCAACAACAACAAAAAAUCAACAACCCAAUUAAAAAGACGGGCAAAAGAACUGAGCAGUGACUUCUCCAAAGAAGGUAUCCGGAUAGCCAACAGGCAUAUGGAAAGGUGUUCAACAUCAUUAGCGAUCAGAGGAAGGCAAAUUAAAACUACAAGGAGAGGUCACCUUCCUCUGGUCAGAAUGGCUCUAAUUAACAAGACAAGAGACAAGUGUUGGAGAGGAUGUGGAGAGAAGGGAACUCUCCUACACUGCUGGUGGGAGGGCAGACUGGUGCAGCCACUAUGGAAAGCAGUAUGGAGUAUUCUCAGAAAACUAAGAAUACAUCUACCAUAUAGAUGAUCCAGCUAGCCCACUGCUGGGUAUUUAUCCAAAGAACUUGAAAACACCAAUGCAGAAAGACACAUGCACCCCUAGGUUCACUGCAGCAUUAUUCACAACAGCCAAAACUUGGAAGCAACCUAGGUGCCCAUCAAGGGAAGUAUGGGUAGAGAAGAUGUGGUAUGUAUACACAAUGGAAUGCUACUCAGCCCUAAGAAACGAUGAGAUCCGGCCAUUUGUGACAACGUGUAUGGACCUUGAGGGUAUUAUGUGAAGUGAAAUAAAUCAGAGGCAGAAAGUCA
rnacentral:lncRNA from 1 species